GCGAAAACUUUACAAUGCUGGCAACAGCGAUAAGGGAACCUCGCGUGCCAGGUUACAAAUCUGGCUGUCGAGAUGCCUAAAAAGCAUUUCAUAGCAAGGGCCGGGCAAGACCGGUGCCAGCCGCCGCGGUAACACCGGCGGCUCGAGUGGUAACCGUUAUUAUUGGGUCUAAAGUGUCUGUAGCCGGCCGGAUAAGUCUCUUGAGAAAUCUGGCAGCUUAACUGUCAGGCUUUCAGGAGAUACUGUCUGGCUCGAGGCCGGGAGAGGUGAGAGGUACUUCAGGGGUAGGGGUGAAAUCUUGUAAUCCUUGAAGGACCACCAGUGGCGAAUGCGUCUCACCAGAACGGACCUGACGGCAAGGGACGAAAGCUAGGGGCACGAACC
rnacentral:rRNA from 1 species